rnacentral:lncRNA from 1 species
AGUACGGCCCAAUGACACCGCCAGCAUGCAAUCCACACCAAACAGUAAUUUUUUGGGGAUGUAAUGGCUCCUCAUGAAUCACGUGUGGGUUCUCCCAGCCCAAUAGCGCAUAUUUUGGUUGUUAACAAGGCCAUUGAGUCAAAAACGUGCCUCAUCGCUGAAGAGGAUUUUACGUUGAAAAUCAGGAUCAUUUUUUAAUUUUCCUUUAGCCCAUUUUACGAAUUCCCGACGUUUGAAGUGGUCAAGCGGCUUCAGUUCUUGUGUCAACUUGAUCUUAUACGGGUGUAGGUAAAAAUCUUUUCGCAAAAUUCGCUACAACGAUGUCACAGAGAUGCCCAACGAUCGAGAACAAAUUUGGGUCUUCUUGAAUUGAUGCGCUUGCGGCAGGAAUAUUUUUUACACUUCGUGCAUUUCUUUGUCUCACUGUCACAGGAACAUUAUUUAGUGUGUAUGUGUACUCCAUUUUUUUCACAAAACGUUGAAUUGUUGAUUUUGCGGGUCGAUUACGUUGACCAUAAAUUGGCGUUAACGCUCUUAAAGUUUGGAUCAAAGACUCGCCACUUUUGUAAUAAAUUUUAAUAAUUUGCGAGCGUUGCUCGAUGGUGUACUGCUCCAUGAUAAAACUACAACUAUUUUUAAGCACAGCUGUCAAAGAAACAAUAACAAAUAUGACGUCGUUUUCGAAAUCUAUCAACGCAAAAUGUGAGCGUCCCUAUUGAAAACCCCUUUAUAAACAAUUCAUAAUUCCAAUCAAUUUAAACUAAGAAAACUAAUAUAAGGAUUGUUAUAAUAUUUUGAAGUAAAAACAUGAUUAACACAGGGGAAUACAAAUUUUCACCAUUGAAAUUAAGUCAAGAAUAUAAUUUAUCUUAAAGAGGAAAGUCCAAAACUGAUCUCAGUUUUUCUCUGGGUCGGUAGGUUUCAGAAAUAGUUGGGAUUAUAGUAAUUCGAGACUAUUAUCGUUCAGAGACAUUUUUCAUCAUCAAGACAAUCACCAAAUUGAAAUAAGAUGUAUAAAACUGAUUUAAAAAGGUAUUUUAUGAUUAUAAAAGUAUGUAUCCUAUCUGAACUUGACAUAUUUCUAUUUUUAGGCUGAAAAAUGAUGAAAAACGACACUCUUUUGGAGACUAUUUCAACAAAUAAUUCAUCUAUUAUUUAAAAAAAUAAGGAUAUUCAAGGACUUCGUUGGAUUUGGUAUUUUUUGAGUGAUCUCAUUUAUUGGGGGGGGGUGAACUAGCAAAUCGACAAAAUUAUCAUAAUAUUGUUUACGAUUUCAGUGUUUUCAUAUUGACGUCAAAGCCCGUAAUAAUAAUAUAAAUAUGAUACCAUAAUACCGCGCUUCCAAUGGAUCUCUUCAUUGCUUAUAUCCUGGAAUUCUGUUUCCCAAUGAAGGAGUCCUCUACUUUUUUAUGAAGUUUUAUAGUUUUUCUCGGAGGAAUUUUCAUCUCGUCGUUUCUCGUAGAAUACGGAGUUCCGAAUAAGACCAAGGGCAUUUCUUAAGAUGGAUGAACAUGUUAGAAGUAUCUUCUUUGGAGAAUGAAAAAGUCCACUUCUUCAGAGCAAUUUAUUUGAAACUGAAAGUAAAUGGAUCAUGCCAUAGUUUCAAACGUUGAAUAUAUUCAUUGUUCUAUAUGGACGGUUAGAUUCCCACCAAAAUAAAGAGUGGAUUCUACUCUAGUAUGAAGCUUAGUUUUGUUCGGCUUACUUCUUCAGCUAAAUUUUCGUACUGUUACACUCACGUAGAUAUUGGAAUUUGAGCCUCUCUUGUUGAGAAUAAAGUAUCUCCAGUCUCUUCUUUUGUCCUAAUUCAUAGAGAAAUUUUUGUCUUUAAUUAAUGAAGAUCAAUCUAAGCAAAUGAAAAGCACUUUAAUAUUUAUAAUUUUUCCCUCCAUUUGCUCAAAUAUUUUUUACUAUUAUUUUUAAUAUAUUUAAAUUUUAUAAUUGUAGCUUAUGUAUAAUAUUCAUGUUGGGGUAACACCUAAAUAUUUUACUUAAUUAUAAUUCCAUAUGUCACAUACAGUCUUUUGUUUUAUUCAAUUAGAAUUGUAGUAUCUCGAAGAGGAUGUAUGAUUUGACAUUUACCGAUUCAGCAUACAUAUUUUAUCACUUACAUGUAACUUUUUAAUGAUCUUUUUAUUUUGAGUUAAUAGGCAAGAAAAUUUAUAAUAUGAAGACAAAGAUAUAUUUUAAUAUACAUGUAUAUAUAUAAAUAAAAAUGUAUAUUUUUAUUUAAGAAUUCAAGAGAAAUAAAAAAUUGCAGUUUUUAAAUUUAAGAUGGGAUACUAUAGCCCGACCAUGAACAGAACCGGGAGGAGGGCAUAUAAAAAUAAUCAGUAAUACCAGCUCAGUACUAGUCCCACCCUUAAGUGUGCAAAGUAACUAGGGUGACAAACACAUAGCUAUAUGGGGCAGUUAUGUCAUUCAUGAAUCAUGACUUAUUGUUUUUAUUGUCCUGCCAUGGACAGGCAAUCCCAGCCUUCCCUGAACCAGACCAUUGAAGGGGCCUAUACAAGUAGAUUGGUUGGCUUGGUUUUUAGAUGGCAGCUUCCCUGUUGCAUGUGGGAGGCUGAUAAGCACGACUGAGAUGCCCAGAGUUUAAAAGGGGAUCUACUUAGUAAGCUGAAAAGAAUAUAUUAAGGCUGAAAAUGGCUCAAUACGCUCGCAGAAAAAAGGUAUGAGUCGCAUAGAGUCAGCUAUGAGUGAAGAGUUCCAUUUAUGAUGAGUAGAUAAUUUUGAUAUUCAAAAUAUACCUCAUUAAUAAUUAUUUUAUUUGAA